rfam:Macrostomum lignano uti_cns_0007114, whole genome shotgun sequence.
AAAACGGCCCUUUGAAGGGCCACCCAACCCAUAAAGACAAGUGUAGG